rnacentral:lncRNA from 1 species
AAUGGCUGCGUAAUAUUCCACUGUGUGUGUGGACCACAUCUUCUGGAUCCCCUCCUCUGUCGAUGGGCAUUUAGGUUGUUUCCAUGUCUUGGCUGUUGUAUAUAGUGCUGCAGUGAACAUCAGAGUCCAUGUGUCUUUGUGAGUCGUGGUUUUCUCUGGAUAGAUGCCCAGGGGUGGGAUUGCUGGAUCAAAUGGUAGUUCUGUUUUUAGUUUUCUGAGGCAUCUCCAUACUGUUUUCCACAGUGGUUGCACCAGUUUACAUUCCCACCAACAGGGUACUAGGGUUCCUUUCUCUCCACACCCUCCCUAACACUUACUGUUUGUAGGCUUUUUGAUGACAGCCGUUCUGGCUGGUGUAAUAUGAUACCUCAUAGUGGUUUUGGUUUGCAUUUCUCUAAUAAUGAGUGAUGUUGAACAUCUUUUCAUGUGUUUUUUGACCAUCUGUAUGUCUUUGGAGAACUGUCUGUUUAGAUCUUCUGCUCAUUUUUUGAUGGGGUGGUUUGUUUGGUAUUGAGCUGCAGAAGGUGUUUAUAAAUUUUGGAGAUUAAUCCCUUGGCAGUCAAUUCAUUUGCAAAGAUUUUUCUCCCAUUCUGUGGGUUGUCUUUUCGUUUUGUUUAGGAUUUCCUUUACUUUACAGAAACUUUUUAAGUUUAAUUAGGUCCCAUUUGUUAAUUUUUGUUUUUAUUGUCAUUACUCUAGGAGGUGGAUCUGAGAAGGAUAUUGCCAUGGUUUAUGUCAGAGGGUGUUUGGCCUAUGUUUUCCUCUAAGAAUUUUAUAGUAUCUGGUCUUAUAUCUAGGUCUUUAAUCCAUUUGGAGUUUAUUUUUGUGUAUGGUGUUAGGGAGUGUUCUAAUUUCAUUCUUUUCCAUGUGGCUGUCCAGUUUUCCCAGCACCACUUAUUGAAGGGGCUGUCUUUUCUCCAUUGUAUAUUCUUGCCUCCUUUGUCAGAUUAGUUAACUGUAGCUGCGUGGGUUUAAUUCUGGGCUUUCUAUCCUGCUCCACUGAGCUGUAUUUCUGUCUUUGUGCCAGUACCAUACGGUUUUGAUGACUGUAGCUUUGUAGUAUGGUCUGAACUCAGGGAGCCUGAUUCCUCCAGCUCCAUUUUUCUUUCUCGAGAUGGACUUUGGCUAUUCUGGGUCUUUUGUACCUCCAAACAAACUUUAAAAUAUUUUGUUGUAGUUCUGUGGAAAAUGUUUUUGGUAAUUUGAUAGGGAUUGCAUUGAAUUGGUAGAUUGCCUUGGGUAAUAUAGUCAUUUUGAUAAUAUUGAUUCUUCCAGUCCAAGAGCAUGGUAUGUCUUUCCUUCUGUGUCAUCUUUGAUUUCUUUCAUCAGCAUCUUAUAAUUUUCAGAGAACAGGUCUUUUGUCUCUUUAAGUAGGUAUUUUUCCUAAGUAUCUCAUUCUUUUUGAUGUGAUGGUAAAUGGGAUUGUUUCCCUAAUUUCUCUUUCUGAUCUUUCAUUGCUAGUAUAUAGAAAUGCAGUCAAUUCCUGUGUAUUAAUUUUGUAUCCUGUGACUUUGCCAGAUCCAUUGAUGAGGACUCUUAAGUAAUUCCUGGUACUUAUUCUGGUUUCUUUCCAGAAGGAAGGUGGUAAACCCACUCCAAGAUUUUAAAUCUGCAGUUGGAAUGUAUCUGUCACAUGAAAAUGGGAAGUUGCUGCUUUGGGUCUGUUUUGUUUUGUCUUUAAAUAAACCCUUAUUGUGGAAGGAUUGGAUUCAGACUCAGGCUGGCUCUUUAUUAAUUUGAAUUUAUGGAAUGUUGAAAUGAGUUAAAACGAAUGGCAUCGGGGAAGACCUGAAGUUUGCAAACCGGGAGAGCCCACCUGCGUGUCCAGAGCCCCUGCCAGCUUAGCCCCCUCUCACUUCCCAGGCUGCUGCAACUCCUUGAAGAAACAAAAUAUUUAGGCACAGUGACUUUCACAACGUGGGGGGAAAUAAAUCUCAGAUGAAUAGGAGAUGGAAACUGGGCUGGGCAGGGAAGAGGGUACAGAAACUAGACCAUCGAAUACCUACUAGGUACAGACACUGCUAGUUGCUUUGCCCCUGGGAACUUUAACCCCCGUGUAGUUUUAUAAAUGAAAACAGGUUUAGAGACAGGGGCAACCCCAAAACCUAUACCUCUGACUCUCACCCUAAUGUUUGUUAAGCGAAUGAAGGAAAUGAGAACAGAGGCUCAGAGAGGUUAGGUGAUUUGCCUGAAGUCACCCAGCAGUUAAGGGGAUCAGGUCAGUUUCACGUCAGUCCUUCGUUCUCAGGUACUCUGUGCCUAGAGUUCCAUCCUGGGAAUUGACCUUGUGUCUUCCACCCAGCAUGGCCUUUUUGAGUCUCUCCUCUGGGCCCAGAGCAGGUUGUAGCUCCAGCACUUGGCUUACCUCCCUGACUGCGAGAGAAACAGGGAAGAAAAAAGAAGCAGAGGCACACCCCCGAGGGCAGAGUAGACUGUGCCCCCACCCCAGCUCUCACAUCCUGUCUCCCUGCAGUACAUACCGGCAUGUAAUUGUGCAACUGCUGGAGUGGGAGCUCUUUGAGGUCAGGAAGCCUGUCUUUGUAACCUCUGUCACCACCAAUUAACAUGGUGUUGGCACUAGGAGGGGUCAGUACACGUCUAGCGGGUAAAAGUCCACAGUACUUAUGUUGAAGGCAUUAGAACGUCUUUAAUUGAAUGUCGCACUCCCUAAUGGUGGGGGCUCAGGUCAUGCUGUCUUGGUUCCCCAGGGCCUAUUAGAAUGCACAGCCAUGUGGGACUUUGAUGGGCAGUGGGAGAACCUGGUUGGAGAAGUGGCCAGAGGGUGGAGAGUUGAGGGCCAGGAAGAUGGAGCAGGAGAGGGAAGGACAGAUGCAUUUCACUGACUUGACAGUUUCGCCUGAUGUUUGUCUGACUAGCCACAAGCAGAAAGUUAUUUUGGGAAACAAAUAAUUUAGCUGUAGGAUAGCCACAGAGAUAUACUUCAAAAUACCAGUCUAGGGAGGUCUCCUGUGGCCGCAGCAGGUUAAGGAUCCCAUGUUGUUGCUGCUGUGGCGCAGGUUUGAUCCCUGGCGUGGGAAUGUCCGUGUGCCUCAGGCACAACUGAAAAAACAAACAAAAAAUACCAGUCUAUCCUGCAUUAUUAAAUAGGUGUUACGAUUGUUAAUUUUCGUUCAAAGAGAAGCGGUGUCGUGGAUCUGGAAUCCAGACUCAACUCCAGUUCAUACCAUGCCAGUUUAAAAAGCUGCUUCCUGGAGUUCCCACUGUGAUGCAGUGGCAUUAGCAGCAUCUCUGGGCGCCAGGAUGCAGGCUCGACUCCAGCAUUGCCGCAGCUGCAGUGUAGAUCGAAAGUGUGGCCUGGAUCUGGUUCCUGACCCAGGAACUCCAUAAGCUGCGGGGCAGCCAAAAAAAAAAAAAAAACCCAGCCGAGUCCUUAAAGAAGUCACUUUCUCUCUCUAGGCCUUCGUUACCUCACUUAUGGGAAAAGAGCUACUUGGAGGAUAACAUUAUAGGAAAGAAGUGUGUAAAUUGUAUAAAUUGUAAAACUUGGCUAUAAAUGUUUUAUUUUGUAUUU